AUAAAGAUGAACUCAGGUGGCCCUGUGCUUAAAUGUCUAUGUAUCUAUUUAUCAUCUGCUAAGGUACAAACAGCUCAUCAUUUCAACAACCGCUGAAGACGAAAACAGUGUCCUUCGCUCUGUCAAUUCUAAACAGGGAUCCAAUGUCUGGAAAUAUCAGUUAAACUUUGUUGAACAUAAAAAGGAAAAAACAAUCUUUUAUCACAGACAGUUUUUUUCUGUCAGAAAAUCUUUUCACACCCUUUCCGUCAAUACAUAUCCACUACAGCUAACAAACGUGUACUAAUAAAUGUCAUGCAUUUGUUCUAAUAUGGACUCCCAACUUAUGUAGUUUAAAGCUCUACUGUUUUGCCAUAUACUUUAUUGGUGAGAUUUUAUGAUAAAAUGACAGAAAAAAAUUUUUCUAGUAUAAAAUUGUUAGUUAUUAAGUAUUAUAUUUCCUGUUAUUUUGAAACAUAGAUUAAAAGCAUGGUAUCUGCUCUUGCUAGCACAAGUUUGCGUGCCUGUAUCCACUCUAGAACCAGAGAAUAUGAGUCUUAUGAAAAUGGUUUCCAUGCAAAUCAAAACCAGCUGAAAGCUUGCCAAGGCCAAGAUGUAAUUUAAGAUGGCAUUUAAGCUGCUCUGUCUUUUCUGUCUCUAGAGAUAUCAUCAUAAAAUAAAAGAAUUCAUCAGGUAAUGUUUUCUUCAUUAUUCAACUGCACAAUUCUGAAGUGAAAAGAUAAUUAGACAUACAGUGCUGUCGACAUAGUUUAUGAGGAGAUUCUGAUUAAUUAGCUAUGGUAAAAGGUUUUUAUAUAGUCAUAAUUAAUUUAUAUUUCAAGAAAAGAAGCAAAUGUUCUGUACACAGAUUUUAAUAUUUUUUCCUCUGACAGAUUUAUCAAAGUAAUUCUGAAGUUCUGUUGAACUUAAUGCACUUCACUGUUACUUUAUAAAACAGGAAUAAGAUCUAACAGCACAAUUAAUGUUGACUUUCCUGGGAGUCAGAGAGGUUAGCACUCACAUCACUUUGAAAAAUGCCUGUUUUCACAUCCAAAUCAACAAAUGAAACCACUGUGACUGAUCAACGUCAUACACCUUGAUUGGAUGUUGAAUUUACAUUGAAUCAGUAAUGAAAAAUAUGAAUGUAUCACAUAAGUUGCUUUACAUGCUUUGUCAUACUUUCUUCUUCUGACCUGAUCAAAGUCAAAAGGUCAGAAGACCUUUCCAAUUAUUCUGUUUCCCUUUCAGCUUUGCAUAUUGAGUCUAAAAGGAACAUACAUAUUGUCUUGAAAUAUGGUUUAGUGAAAAUACUAAGUCAGGGCUUGAACCAAUGAUUGAGCACCUGGUGGGCAAUCACUGCAGGGUUAAGCCAGGGAGCCCAGGUGCAUGCAGUCCACCUGAGUGACCAGGAGGGGUGGAUCCUGGCUCCACCCACUCUCAGACCUCAUUUAAGGGUUGGCAGUGGAGGUAAGAGGAUCUCCCUGGAUAUCCCUGCUUCCCUGGGGCCUUCUGAAGGUAAGUGGCUUCUUUCCUUUAUUUUUGUGCCCCUGGCUUUUGUAUUUGAAGUGAAUCCUCACUUCCUGAAGCCUGGUAUCUUGUUGCUCUGCUAUCAUUGUUGUGUUUUUCAUUGUGUAGUUAUGGUCGUAUUAGCUUUCUACUUGUGCUCCCUCUCAAAUCCGAACUUUCUAAAUGACCUCACAUCCUACACUUUGACUUACACUUUAGUUAACUCUGAAGUGAGCUAACACUCACUUGAGUUAACACAGCAGAUGAAGAGAAGUAUUGAUACAAACUCAAUGCUUUCUCCUGUGGGUAGAAGAAAUCCAACUCAUUCAAACUGCCCAGCACAGAAAAGGUGAGCCUACAUACUCAAGCACAGCUAACAGAGACAAAGCCCUGGAAAUUAACUUGUGCAACUAAAGUAAAUUAGUAUAGAAACUAAUUUAAAGAAAUCUGACUUUUGGAAAGACAGUGGUGCGAUUUAAAGAUAGUCUCAAGUACAUUAACCACAGCACCUAUGCAAUUUAGCAAAAUGCUUAUACACGGUAACUCUUUUUGAAACAAUGGGAUUAUAAAUCCAUGUUUUGAUAUGAGGAGCACAUAUGCAAUCACCAGAUACUGAUCAGGAACUGCUAUUUGCUGCUUUUAAUCAAUUCUUCUGAGAGAGAUGUAGAAAGAAAGCCUCCUCUUGGGACCCACGUCAACAGCCACUGGAGACACUAGAAUUCUUUCUAAUAUAAUUUGGUGCAGUCCUUUGGAAAUCAUUCAGGUACCACUUGAGCUAUGAGCAGAAUCCAAAGGACUAAAAAAAAAAAAAAACUCUUCCUGCUCUUGUUUCAGUGAGAACUUUCAUCACUAAAGUUAGCCCUAAAAUCCUAAACUGUAGCAUCCCGAGUACUGUCCAUCCAUUUUUUGGUUAAGCUUAUUUGAUGCAGUAUGUUACUCAAAAUGAUCUGGAGCCAUAGGAAGUGUUACAAUAGUGAGGAUUCCUGAAUAAAUAAUUCUCAAUUAAGUGCUAGCACCUAAUUAUAUUAACUUAUAGUAAUUACUGAUUCAAUUAUGAAAUUGAAGAUUAACCUGAAAAUGCAGACUGGCUAAUUUAUUUUUAUGAUAACUAUACACUAAUAGCACAUGUAGUUGGACUUCUCUGGGUGCAAGCAAGGUAAGGGCUAUUUUAACACUCAUUUAGGAAGCUAGAUAAUCUUGCAACACUUAAAGAAUAUCUGACUAGAAUAUGUACUGAAAUAUGUCUGAAACAAUGUUGUAUUUGAUUAUUUUAAAGCCUUAAAUAUCCUGCACAGCCAUAGCAGAGGAAAUAGGCCUUAUUAUUUAUAAUCUAUUUUAAUGGUUUUGUGCUUUUUCUCAGUAAUAAUUUCCGUGGGGUGUUCCAUGUCGGAAUCUGACUUUUACAGUAAGUAGGAAACACAAACAUUCACUAAUGCACUUGCUUGUAUUUUGUCUUGGCAAAAGCUAGAAAUUGUUUAUGAUUCAAGUUUGGGUAGAAGAGAGAAUAGGUUCAACUGUUAGUUUAAAGGAUUUUAGUGAAGUAGUUAGGGAAAGCUUUUGAAUAUUAACAGUGAAGUAGGGAAAUAGGUUAUCUGACUGCUAUGAAACUUUGAAGAUCGUUAAGAGCAGUGUAGCAGGUAAAGGUGACACAGCUAAAGCUUCCUAUGGGUCAGAGAAAAUCAACAAGAUGAACUCUGGAGUUCCCCCUAGACCUCAGAUUUUGAGAAGGAAUGUAAAAUAAGAAUUGCAGUGUUUGACUUCUCAUGUAAUCUCAUGAUUGUGAAUGUUCUUAAAUGUAAUAAAAUGAAAGAAAUUAAAAGCAAAUGUUAUUUAGUAUAUUGUGCAUAGCAAAGUAACUGCUAACUUUCCGUAUUCUGUCUCUAACAAGAGGUUUGUCGGAGAUUUGUACUUCCAAAUCACAUCACUAAAAAUAUAACAGCUUGCCUUGGAAUUUUAAACAGGUGAUUUUUCCCAAGUAAAAAUUUCAGGGAUCAAUUACUUAUUGUAUUACUUACAAUAAAUAUCAUGAAUUUAAACCACGAAGAUGACUGUAUUUAUGAGUGGUGCAUGUAGCAUAUUUAGAAAGUAACAAAGCAGUAAAGAUUACCUCACGUGUACAGAUUAUAUAUUAUUUGUUAGUGUGUCACUUCCAGUAUUCUUUCUUUUCCAAGUGAAAGUAUAAAAAAAAACACGUGAUUAGCUAUGACAUUUUAUGUGUUAGCUUUUACCCAGAUAAAUGUCAGAUUUAGAUAAUCCUAUGGGAUCUAUGCUUCAAAUGCUUAGAAACAUGAUUCUGGAAGUUUAAGUAACUAUAUACAUAUUAUUGAGAUUAGUAGACCCAAUAUACAGUCCUGCAAUAAUAAUGUAUGGAGCAGAACUGAGUUUAGAAACCAUCUCCAAAUGUUUCGUAUGUGAAUUACUCAAAACCAAGUGUAUGGUAAAGGGGAGUGGAUUAUUCAGUAAAGAAGACCGUUAGAUGAUUUCUCCCUAAUCCAUCUUGCUCCCAGCAUAUAUAUUUCAAUAUCACAAGAAAGUAUAUUUGUAACUUUCAGGAAGAUAAGAUAUAGUGUGUAUCACUUCCAAGAGUGACUGCUGUUGUGAGGAAGACAUGGAUAAUUGCCUUUAUUCCAAAGUGUGGAUUUCUUGCACUGGUAACUAGUUUUUCCUCUAACAUUCUUUCCUGUUUAUAUUUUUCCCACUUAAAGUACUGGAAAGCUAUAGAGUGUUCUGACAAAUAAGCUUCCAUAUGAAUACCAAUGCUGCAGAAGACCAGAUCCUUCUCCGUUCUAAGAGGAGUUCCUACAACUGAUCAACAAUUAAUGUUCAUUGUGGGAUGAAUCUCAGCUACAAUUCUGCAAACCAUAUGAAUUACUAUGUUAUUAGACAAACCCUUCUUGGGAACUGAAGUUUGCAGGAGAUUUUUAUAAUUAAUCUUUAGACAUUCCAUUUAUUUUACAAAAUUACUUUGCCUUUUGAAUUGUCUUUUUAAGGCACAACCAAAAUAGUGCACUAUGACACUACCUUAAAUGGAGAAUUAUAGGUCUUGCAAAGCACUACAGAGAUGCAGUUUUAUCUGCAAACUUGCUCAGAGGGCUGCUCUAUACCUAGAUUUUCUUCUUAUCGCAUCUCAUUUUGUUAUGUUAGAAAGUGGAAAAGUCUGUGCCCUGUCAAUUUGUUCUUUUGCCUUGCUUUCCUCAUCAGUUCGGAACUAGAAAAGUAUGAAGAAUUUAAAGAUAAUUAAAAAAAAAGUAAAAUUCUUUGUAAAACCCUGGAAAACUUCACAUGAAUUUUGAUAUUUGGUUAUAGAUGGAUUGCUUAACGUUUAUAGAGAAACACAACAUUACUUAUUGUAACAUAGUUACAUAGGUGCUCACUGUCUCAGCGCUAUUUUCAUCCUGCUCUUCUUGCUUCAUGACCCGUUUACUCAAUUUUCAGUUAUUUCCAAAAGAUACAGUGUAUUACUCUAUAUCCUGAUAAACACAAUAUUUUCAGAAGUCUUUACUUGUAAGAAGUUGAGUGCAUGAAAUGAGUGUAGGAGUGCAAAUCAAGCCUUCCAGUGUGAAACAGAAUUUGACAUUGGAUGUGCAGAAAAAGUGUGAACAGCAAGUUUAGUGUUGUACUUGAGUCCUUUUUUCCCAUUGCUGAUGGUUAACUCAAAAUGCAAAAACUAUGCACCUGUCUGCCAACUAAGCACAGCUGCAUAGAUCUUCCUGCUAGAUCCAACCAUGUGCAGAAUGCAGAAGCCAGUUGAAAAAGCCUUUGCACUCUUAGAAAACAAUACUUGUUAGGUUCUGACUGCAACUCAAAAGAGGUAUCAAUUCUUUAGUCUUCUUGACUGACAGCAUUGGAUUCAAUUUGGGACCCUAAAUGGACAGGCCAGCCAGCUUCAGUUUUCUCAAGUUCAUCAAGGGCCUGAUGCAAACCAGACUGUUUUUCAUUCAUACAACAAAACAAUCAGGUUGGAAGAAUCAACCCUGCUGUAUCUAUCCAUAAUGAAACAGCGGGCAGCAAGGAAGGCGCAAAUCUUAAAAACAAACACUGAGAAAUCCACAUCAGAUGUAAAGCUGUGGUGCACCUAGUGUUCAAUAUAAAGAAAAUAUGUGAUUAGAGCUUUUGUACACUUUGAAACAUAUGUAACUAGAUAUAGUAAGAAUUUACAGUGGGAACGCUAAAUUUAGAAUUUAGAGUGCUCAGCAUUGAUUCAACUAGGCCCUUAUCAAAACAUUCAUUUCCUCAGCAAAAAAGAAACAGACCCAUGUUGCACAGCUUUAAAGAAAAAAAAUGAAGAAAGUGUACUGAGCUCUUCAACUAUAUUCACUGUUAGGAGAUAAGGGAAAAUAUGAUUGUCUCCAACUCUUGAACCAUAUUCUUCUGAAAAAUGACUCAGUGUAAACUGCAAAGAGGCAAGACCUCUUUUAAUGAGAAGGAAACAUGAUUCUGUGUAUUGUAGCACAUCUAAUUUUUCUAGCAACAUUCCUAAACCAAAGCUUUUGAAAAAAUAACUGUUGGAAAAAUAAGGAGAUACAAUCAAACUAUGCUAAAAUAUGAUAAGUUAUGAUGAUCUGCCUGACACAUUCUGUGUAGAAACAAGAGAAAAUCUUUUCCAAAAGGCUUCUUGAUUUGCAACCAUUAAUUCCUGUUUUAUUAAACUAAUGUUUUCUCGUGAAGUGUUUAUUUCUAAUAAAAGAUCCCUUAGGCUAUUUUAAAAAAAAUGCAUGUAGUUAACAAUAUUCAGUAGCCUCGUCCAUCCCCCCAAUACACGCACCAGUUUCCUUACCUGUUCCAAAGAAUUUCAGUGUUAUUUGCAAAUUUAAUUGAAAACAUGGCAUGUCAACUUCCAUUGCAACCAUUAUUUCUGAAACUGUCUGUACUUGCCAAUAUGGUGCAAAUGUUUAAAAAAAAGUGAGGAAUUGGUUGUAAGUCUAAGUGCAAACAAAAUUGCCUAACUUGGAAUUUGAUCAAGAUUGAACACUAGGUUUACAGUCCAGCUCUUAUUAUGGCAUUCCCAUGGUAUCUUGAAUAUUUAGUGUCCCUCAACUGCAUAAUGCAUGGUAAUGCUUUAUUAGGUAUCAGAAUGAAAGGAACUACACGAUAACUAUGCGUGGUGUUCUUAAGAGUUCAAACAUUCUCUCAAAUACUCAUUUGAUAUAGAUAAUUGCAAAGAAAUAAGGGUAGGUAGCCUAGCUGCAGCAACUAUAGCAUCACACUAUGCUCUUACUGCUUUUAGCUUUUAAGGGAUCAGCAGGCACCUAGCUAUAGGCAAUCCUCUGAGUUUCACCUGGCGUAUUCCUGACAUAUGGCCUAAGGUAAAAUGAGUUGACAGACAUAGCUAUGGAGUCCCACCAUAUUGGAAGACUCUCAAGCUGGUCACUCAGGCUACCCGUAUGGCCUGAUACAACAGAGACUAUUAUAAUAUACACUAAGACAUCUUAAACGCAGCACAAGGCAUUACAGCAGGAAUUCAUAAUGAUGCUAUGGUUCUAGAGUUUUGUUUUAUGAAACAAUAAAUUGUGUUUACUUUCCCUAGUUAUAAAGGGGGGAGAGAGAAUUCCUGAGUUGCUCCAAAAAUGUAAAGCUGGAUCAGCAGUAAAAGAUGUUGAAGCAGCAGCAUUUCCCUGAGAAGCAGCCAACUUAGAAGUGGAAUAUGGAUUAGUGUCAUCAGGAGCAGCAGCAAGAGCUGCACAGGCAGUCUGAUGGGGCACUUUCCUAGCACAUCAUACUGCAGCUGAACAGCUGAGCCACUCAGAAUAUCACAGCUGAAAAAUUUUGUCCAGAAUCAUCAAGCAGAUUUGCACCCUCUACACUCUGAAUUUUACAGGUUACUGAAUAAAGAUGAAUGAAUAUCUUACAUAGUUGGUAUAAUUUUGAUCUUCAUAAAAUAAAAAUGUAGUUUCACUACUGUAUGCAGCAAUGACAUGAACUACAGUUUGAUAUUCCAUAGAGUAUCUUUGCAGAAGUCUGUAAUCUCUUGUUGGGAAAGGAAAAAUAAAAGCUCCUUUUAAA